ensembl:lncRNA
CAGGUGGAGCUGGGGAAGGAGGAGGGUUUCUAAAGCAGGCUGCAAACGGCUGCAGCAAACGCUGGUGAAUGUUGAACAGCAAAUCAUUGGCUGCUGAUGCAACAAAACUAAUCAGCUGAGCCAUGUGAAUAAUAAGAUUAUAUCAGAUUGAGUUAGUACCAAUCAGCCUGUGCCAUCUAGAGUUUCAUUACAUAACUUUGCAUUUAAAUGCUGCUAUCCAUCUAACCUGAUCUCAAAAUGUAUGGCAAAAUGUAACCAUUGUACGAUGUGGCAAUUUCAUAUGAAUUCAUACAAUCUAAAUCAUACAAAAAUUUAUGUUUUGAAGGUCCACCACAGACCUAACCACGAAUGGGACAUAAACAGUUCAUAUAAAAGCGAAUGAGAUCAUAUGAAUUCAUGUGAAUCAGCCACCAAUUCACCAAAAUGUAAAAUAUUGCCAUGGAAUUGUGUUUCGCCUGUCACAGUUUUCAACUCUCAGAUUACAUAAAUCGCACUGCAAGAGAAACACUUCUCAAUGAGUGUCAGACUCUGGUCUGUGAUUUGUGAGUGUUUUGCUCCCCAUGUGCCUUCCUUGCCCUUAUUUGGUCCUUCCUGUUUCUGUCCGUAUGUUCAUUUAGUCCAGGUGUUCCCCAGUUAGUUCGUAUUGUUCCCAGGUGUGUCCCAUUUGUUCUAUUUAAAGUAUGUUCUGCCACACGCUUUCUGUCUGCUGUUAAAUGUAAUUUUGUAAGCCUGAUGUCUCCCGUUUUCCCUGUUAUCCCCAGCGUGCCUUUAUUAAAAACUUCUUUGAUUUACUUUAUUCCUCAUCUCCUCACUCGUCCCUGUGCUCCCAGUGUGUGUCGUGACAGAACAGCAGACCAGGACAACAGACACACGUCUCAGUGAAACGGCGGGAGCGCGGCUGGUAAUUAUCUCCAUAGGAGUGCUGGGAGCCAUCUCCUCAUCAUCUCCUGGUGCCAGGAGCGCGGGAGGAUUACUCCCUCCUCUGCUUCCCAUCAAGCCAAUAUCUACACGGGACGAGAGGAGUUGAGCGGCAUCUACGCGGACCCCGGGGUAUGAGAUGGUGAACUGUGUCUCAGUGGCUCUUUAAAGCUCCUUUCCACGGCUGAAUGAGCACAUGGCGUUUCAUUGUCCCGGCCUCCGAUCGUCAUAAAUCCACUCGUAUCUCUGGAGAGCAGCCAGGAAUGCCGCACUUCUCACUUUAGCCCGGCACAGGCCAUUAUAUCCGAUAUGAAUGUACACGACCUAAAGAUGCCAUGAAUACAAUAGACGGGGGAAAAGACAGCAUGGUGCCCUGAGGCGAUGGAGCCCAAGUCGGGUCUGAGCUCAAUAAACUGAGCCCACCUGCUGUCUAAAGGAUAUGA